rnacentral:misc_RNA from 1 species
CCAUUUGGCCGUAACAAGCCUUAAACCUCCUCUAUGCGUACCUUCACAUUCUCCUUCGGCGGGGUAACGCCCGCCGUUGGAACCAUUAAAAACCCUUUUUGCAUCUAGUAUCAUACCAGUUCUGACAAAAAUUUAAUCGUUACAACUUUCAACAAUGGAUCUCUUGGCUCU